UUCAGAGGUCUCGAGCGUUGUUCGGAUUUACUGGGCGUAAAGGGAGCGUAGGCGGCCGGGUGUGUCGAAUGUGAAAGCCCACAACUCAACUGUGGAAUGGCAUUCGAAACUACCUGGCUAGAGUACUGGAGAGGAGAGCGGAAUUCUUGGUGUAGCGGUGAAAUGCGUAGAUAUCAAGAGGAACACCGGUUGCGAAGGCGGCUCUCUGGACAGAUACUGACGCUGAGGCUCUAAAGUUAGGGGAGCAAACAGGAUUAGAUA
rnacentral:rRNA from 1 species